rnacentral:ncRNA from 1 species
CGACCCCAGAUCAGGAGGGAUUACCCGCUCAGUUUAAGACUAUCAAUAAAUGGAGGAAAAUAAACUUACAAGGAUUCCCUCAGUAACGAAAAGCAAACCAAGAAUAGCCAACCUUAGAAUUGAGCGGCUUCAUCAUCCGAAUUAUAGUCUGGAGAAGCUUCCUCAGUGGCAGACCGGCCCAAGUCCCCUGGAAGGGGUGCUAGAGAGGGUGAGAGCCCCAUUGUGCUCGGACCCUAUCGCACCACAAGGCGCUAUCUAUGAGUCGAGUUGUUUGGGAAUGCAGCCCAAAUCGGGCGGUGAAUUCCGCCCAAGGCUAAAUACGAGCGAGAGGCCGAUAAUGAACAAGUACCGUGAGGUAAAGAUGAAACUGAAUUUGAAGAAAGAGUCAAAGAGUGCUUGAAAUUAUUGGGAGGGAAGCGGAUGGGAGACGAUGAUAUGCCCCAGUCAGAUGUGGAACGGAGAUGAGCCGGUUCAUCGUUCGACUCAGGGUGUGGACCAGCAUGGAUUGGGGGAGGCCAAAGCCCGAGCUCUUGGUACGCUCGUGGAAUGCCGUCUCCUCAAUUGUGGCAGGUAGUGCGUGCCUCCGAUGUGCUUCAACAUCUGCGCACUUUGGAUGCUGGCCUGUGGGCUCCCCAUUCAACCCGUCUUGAAACACAGACCAAGGAUUCUGACAUGUGUGCGAUUCAAUGUUCGAGUAAACCCAUAAGACGCAAGGAAGAUGAUUGGUGGGAUCCCCCUGAGGGGUGCAUCGCCGACCGACCUUGAUCUUUUGAGAAUGGUUCUAGUGUGAGCAUACUUAUCGGGACCCAAAAGAUGGUGAACUAGGCCUGAGCUGGGCGAAGCCAUAGGAAACUUUGGUGGAGGCCCACAGUGAUAUUGACGUGUAAAUCGUUCGUCUGACUUGCGUGCACCACAUGCUAAGUGCACGGAUUCACCAAUGAACCAUGGGCAAAAUGGCCACUAAGGACUAUGUGUUUGGCACCCGUAUGCCCGUGCACCCACCGUGAGCACACUAUGUAUUCGGCACUCGCGCACCACAACACCAAUAAAACACCAUGCCACAUGCCCCAAAAUGGAUCGGCGACCCCCGCACCAUGCAAAAAUAAAAGGAACAUAAACAUGUGAGGGUUCAUAACUAGUAACUUCGACACUUACAAAAUAAAUGCUUCCACCAAGGUUCGUUCAUCCUAAUACUUUUGUAACGUUCAUCCAUCUUCCUCUCCGUUGCAUACUCCUUUCUUACAUACACGUUCAAAGUGUUUUUUUAAAUGACGUUUCACUAAUUUAAUGCACAUUUUUCAAUUCCGAUGCUGCUUAUACUUCAUUUCAUUGCAUGAAUAUGUACUCUUUAAUCGGUUUAAAUGUUACCUUAUAUGUUGGGAGGUUCCCAUUUUAUUUUUAUAUUAUUUAUUUAAUAUCUUUCAAUUUUAAUAUUUUAUAUAGUUACUUUAUAUGUACAAUUAUGCAUUUAUUUGUUGGAAUAAGGUUACUUCAUGCGUUGAGAAUAUUUUUCUAAUAUUUCUAUAUUUUAAAAUAUUUCUCUUAUUUUUUUAUUUAUUUUGGAAAUCUUCAUAAAUAAUAUUUGAAAAAAAUAUUUUCUUAAUGAAAAUUAUCAUUACAAAUUAUGUGAGGCUCUUAUGAGUGCAUUAGAUCGGUCGUACGUUAAAAUGUAUAGUUCUUAGUUGUACAUGUCUAGUAUGAUUCUCUGAAAAAUAAUGACUACUCCUGACACUUGGAUUUUUUUAAACAUAUAAAAUAGGGUAGAGGUGUUGAAAUCACUUCGAGAUGUCUAUCGCUAGGGUAGAGGUCGUACGUUAAGCAUGCAUGGCUAGUUCGUGCGAGCUGUUGAUGCCCUUAAAAAC